rnacentral:rRNA from 1 species
UUGGAGGGCAAGUCUGGUGCCAGCAGCCGCGGUAAUUCCAGCUCCAAUAGCGUAUAUUAAAGUUGUUGCAGUUAAAAAGCUCGUAGUUGAAUUUCGGGGUUCAUCCGUUGGUCGGGCUUUUUUGGUCUGUACUGGCGUGAUGGAUUCCUACCUUCUGAAUAACCAGCAUGUCAUUAAUUUGGUGCGCUGGGGAAGCAGGACUGUUACCUUGAAAAAAUUAGAGUGCUUAAAGCAGGCUAUCGCCUGAAUACAUUAGCAUGGAAUAAUGAAAUAGGACGGCAUGGUUCUAUUUUGUUGGUUUCUAGGAUCACCGUAAUGAUUAAUAGGGAUAGUUGGGGGCAUUAGUAUUCAAUUGUCAGAGGUGAAAUUCUUGGAUUUAUUGAAGACUAACUUCUGCGAAAGCAUUUGCCAAGGAUGUUUUCAUUAAUCAAGAACGAAAGUUAGGGGAUCGAAGACGAUCAGAUACCGUCGUAGUCUUAACCAUAAACUAUGCCGACUAGGGAUCGGACGAUGUUAAUUUUUUAAUGACUCGUUCGGCACCUUACGGGAAAC